rnacentral:rRNA from 1 species
ACUCAAAGGAAUUGACGGGGACCCGCACAAGCAGCGGAGCGUGUGGUUUAAUUCGACGCGACGCGCAGAACCUUACCAGGGCUUGACAUGCAGUCGCACCGCGCUGAGAGGCGCGUACCCGCAAGGGACGGCUGCACAGGUGCUGCAUGGCUGUCGUCAGCUCGUGCCGUGAGGCGUUGGGUUAAGUCCCGCAACGAGCGCAACCCCCAUCGUCGGUUAGAUCUGUCCGACGAGACUGCCAUGAUCAACGUGGAGGAAGGUGGGGAUGAGGUCAAGUCAGCACGGCCCUUACGUCCUGGGCUACUCACACGCUACAAUGGCCGCGACAAUGGGUUGCCAACCCGCGAGGGGGAGCCAAUCCCAGCAAAGGCGGCCUCAGUUCAGAUUGCAGGCUGCAACCCGCCUGCAUGAAGUCGGAGUUGCUAGUAACCGUGAGUCAGCAUAUCACGGUGAAUACGUUCCCGGGUCUUGUACACACCGCCCGU